rnacentral:rRNA from 1 species
UCAUAAUCAGUGAAAACGAGUAGGGCGGGACACGUGAUAUCCUGUCUGAAUAUGGGGGGACCAUCCUCCAAGGCUAAAUACUACUGACUGACCGAUAGUGAACCAGUACCGUGAGGGAAAGGCGAAAAGAACCCCUGUGAGGGGAGUGAAAUAGAACCUGAAACCGUGUACGUACAAGCAGUAGGAGCACCUUCGUGGUGUGACUGCGUACCUUUUGUAUAAUGGGUCAGCGACUUAAUUUUAGUAGCAAGGUUAACCGUUUAGGGGAGCCGUAGGGAAACCGAGUCUUAACUGGGCGUACAGUUGCUAGGAUUAGACCCGAAACCAGGUGAUCUAGCCAUGGGCAGGUUGAAGGUUGAGUAACAUCAACUGGAGGACCGAACCGACUAAUGUUGAAAAAUUAGCGGAUGACUUGUGGCUAGGGGUGAAAGGCCAAUCAAACCUGGAGAUAGCUGGUUCUCCCCGAAAGCUAUUUAGGUAGCGCCUCGGACGAAUACUACUGGGGGUAGAGCACUGUUAAGGCUAGGGGGUCAUCCCGACUUACCAACCCUUUGCAAACUCCGAAUACCAGUAAGUACUAUCCGGGAGACACACGGCGGGUGCUAACGUCCGUCGUGGAGAGGGAAACAACCCAGACCGCCAGCUAAGGUCCCAAAGUAUAGCUAAGUGGGAAACGAUGUGGGAAGGCUCAGACAGCCAGGAUGUUGGCUUAGAAGCAGCCAUCAUUUAAAGAAAGCGUAAUAGCUCACUGGUCGAGUCGGCCUGCGCGGAAGAUGUAACGGGGCUAAGCUAUACACCGAAGCUGCGGCUACGUACCUUAGGGUAUGUGGGGUAGGGGAGCGUUCUGUAAGCCGUUGAAGGUGGUCUGUAAGGGCUGCUGGAGGUAUCAGAAGUGCGAAUGCUGACAUGAGUAACGAUAAAGGGAGUGAAAAACUCCCUCGCCGGAAGACCAAGGGUUCCUGUCCAACGUUAAUCGGGGCAGGGUAAGUCGACUCCUAAGGCGAGGCCGAAAGGCGUAGUCGAUGGGAAACGGGUUAAUAUUCCCGUACUUCUUACAAUUGCGAUGGGGGGACGGAGAAGGCUAGGUGGGCCUGGCGACGGUUGUCCAGGUUCAAGUAUGUAGGCGGGUGGUUUAGGUAAAUCCGGACCGCUACUAACGCUGAGAUACGAUGUCGAGCUACUACGGUAGUGAAGUCAUUGAUGCCAUGCUUCCAGGAAAAGCCUCUAAGCUUCAGAUUGUAAGGAAUCGUACCCCAAACCGACACAGGUGGUCGGGUAGAGAAUACCAAGGCGCUUGAGAGAACUCGGGUGAAGGAACUAGGCAAAAUGGUACCGUAACUUCGGGAGAAGGUACGCUCUUAUCAGUGAAGUCCCUUGCGGAUGGAGCAGACGAGAGUCGCAGAUACCAGGUGGCUGCAACUGUUUAUUAAAAACACAGCACUGUGCAAAAUCGUAAGAUGACGUAUACGGUGUGACGCCUGCCCGGUGCCGGAAGGUUAAUUGAUGGGGUUAGACUUCGGUCGAAGCUCUUGAUCGAAGCCCCGGUAAACGGCGGCCGUAACUAUAACGGUCCUAAGGUAGCGAAAUUCCUUGUCGGGUAAGUUCCGACCUGCACGAAUGGCGUAAUGAUGGCCACGCUGUCUCCACCCGAGACUCAGUGAAAUUGAAAUCGCUGUGAAGAUGCAGUGUACCCGCGGCUAGACGGAAAGACCCCGUGAACCUUUACUACAGCUUGGCACUGAACAUUGAACCUACAUGUGUAGGAUAGGUGGGAGACU